GUCCCGUGUGGUGCAGUGGUUAUCGCACCUGCCUAUUAAGCAGGAGAACCCGGGUUCGAAUCCCGGUACGGUUCACA